UACGUAGGGGUGCGAGCGUUUAAUCGGAAUUACUGGGCGUAAAGCGUGCGCAGGCGGUUCGUUAAGUCAGCUGUGAAAGCCCCCGAGCUUAACUUGGGAAUUGCGGUUGAAACUGGCGGACUAGAAUCUGGCAGAGGGGGGUGGAAUUCCACGUGUGAGCAGUGAAAUGCGUAGAGAUGUGGAGGAACACCGAUGGCGCAAGGCAGCCCCCUGGGACGUGAGCAUUGACGCUCAGGCACGAAAGCGUGGGGAGCAAACAGGG
rnacentral:rRNA from 1 species